CCUGAUCCAGCCAUGCCGCGUGUGUGAAGAAGGCCUUUUGGUUGUAAAGCACUUUAAGCAGUGAAGAAGACUCUUCGGUUAAUACCCGGAGACGAUGACAUUAGCUGCAGAAUAAGCACCGGCUAACUCUGUGCCAGCAGCCGCGGUAAUACAGAGGGUGCAAGCGUUAAUCGGAAUUACUGGGCGUAAAGCGAGCGUAGGUGGCUUGAUAAGUCAGAUGUGAAAUCCCCGGGCUUAACCUGGGAACUGCAUCUGAUACUGUCAGGCUAGAGUAGGUGAGAGGAAGGUAGAAUUCCAGGUGUAGCGGUGAAAUGCGUAGAGAUCUGGAGGAAUACCGAUGGCGAAGGCAGCCUUCUGGCAUCAUACUGACACUGAGGCUCGAAAGCGUGGGUAGCAAACAGGAUUAGAUACCCUGGUAGUCCACGCCGUAAACGAUGUCUACUAGUCGUUGGGUCCCUUGAGGACUUAGUGACGCAGCUAACGCAAUAAGUAGACCGCCUGGGGAGUACGGCCGCAAGGUUAAAACUCAAAUGAAUUGACGGGGGCCCGCACAAGCGGUGGAGCAUGUGGUUUAAUUCGAUGCAACGCGAAGAACCUUACCUGGUCUUGACAUAUCUAGAAUCCUGCAGAGAUGCGGGAGUGCCUUCGGGAAUUAGAAUACAGGUGCUGCAUGGCUGUCGUCAGCUCGUGUCGUGAGAUGUUGGGUUAAGUCCCGCAACGAGCGCAACCCUUGUCCUUAGUUACCAGCGGGUUAAGCCGGGAACUCUAA
rnacentral:rRNA from 1 species